ACACAUUUGGAGGUGCUAGUUGAAAAAGCUUUCAGUCCCAUCUGUGAAGUGUAGUUAGAAUGGGAUUGCUGUAUAAAUCAAAAGGCUGUUUUUUGAGAGACAACAGCAUGUAUUAAGGAGAAUCAGAUUCCCUACAAUAGAGAGGCCAUUUAGCCCAUCGAGUCUGCACCGACUCUCCGAAAAUCAUCCCAUUCAGAUCCUUCCCCCUCUCUGUCGCCAUGGGAAAUGCAGGGCUAAUCUACCUAGCCUACACAUCCCUGAACAUUAUGGGAUGUUUAGUAUGGCUAUUCCACCUAACCUGCACAUUUUUGGACUGGAGGAGGAAACCCACACAACCGGGGAAAAUGUGAACUCCACGGGCAGUCGCCAGAGGCUGGAAUCGAAACUGGGUCUGGCCUGGAAAAAAAAAGGCACAUCCGUGCAAUUCUUGUGUUUAAGCAUUGCAAUAUUCAUAAGCUAGUCAGUCACUGGUUCGGAUGCUGAAUUUGGGUGGGGUUAAACUGCAUUGCAGAUCGUCUCCAACUACUGCCAACUCUCUCCCCCCAACCAGACGCUAAACAAACAGAUUGCAAUCUCUUCUCCCCCGCCGCCAUUUUUAGAAAUUUUAACCCAGGAAUUUAUACUGACUCCAUUGUCUGUAUUUUGAAUCUUAACGCCACAGAUUUUGCAAAGCUGUCCAUUUCACGAUGACCUCGUGUUGACGUUGGCUUUGUGUCCCACGCAUUACCGUCACUGACGUAUGCUGUUACUAUAGACAGGCAGGAGGCUGGAAGAACACAGCAAGACAGGCAGCACCAGGAGGCGAUAUUGACUGUCCGAAGUAAGAUAUUUCAGCGAAGAGACAAAAUAACUCAUCGACACCGGAUAUGCGGACGUAGUUUUAGGGCAUAAAGCUGAUUACAAGCUUCAAUCAUGUCUAUCAGCUGAUGGAAGGAGUGUAUGAAUCGAGAUGGAGGGGUCCAGACUCGACGGUAUUGUAUUGUAAACGUCUCCAGAGAAGUUUUUGUUUCCGUUUUUUUUCCCUCUCUACUCACCUUCUGGACGGAGCUCAGUCACAAAGUCAGCAACUGGAGACCCAGAGUGGAGACUUUGCUGGUCUGCCAUGAGGCGUUGGUGUGGCCCAGUCACAGCUCUAGCGGUUGACGGCAUUGUGGAAGCAGCUGGAGGCCCCGAGCGGAACUCUGGAAGCCUGUGGUGAGGUAGCCGGUGAGCCCAGAUGGCAGUUGGCGACAAGAAGGCAAGAAUGCAGAGACAUGGGGUUCAUUAGGUCAAGUCCAGUGUCGGGGGGAGGUUGAGCCCCGUGCAAGAGAGAGGGAGAUUGAGCCCUCUUGGCGAAAGCCCAGCAUGGAACAACUGCAGGCUUAUGGCUAAAGAAGUGCUGUAAUUUAGAAUGUUUAACUUUAUUUCUUGUUUACUACAUACUGACAAGAAUCUUAAUGUUGAACUUUAACUUGUUUCUUUAUUUUUCUAUCUUUACCUAAGAUUUUGUCCCUUUGUACCUGAGAUACCACCAUGAAUGGUGACAUUAUACAAUUUUCCCUGUACUCCUGUAUCCCUGUACUUGAGUAUACA